AUAACUCUUAACGGCGGAUCACUUAGAUCAAGGGU
rnacentral:rRNA from 1 species